AAGGGAGAGGACAACACGGGAAUCUGCCUUGGGGACGAGGAUAGCGUCGGGAAACUGACAGUAAUACUCGAUAAUGUUUGCGGACCAAAGGUGUGACUCCGCCCCAAGAUGAGCCCGUGCCCCAUUAGCUAGUUGGCAGGGUAAUGGCCUACCAAGGCUGUGAUGGGUAGCUGGUGUGAGAGCACGACCAGCCUCACUGGCACUGAGACACUGGCCAGACACCUACGGGUGGCUGCAGUCGAGAAUCUUCGGCAAUGGACGAAAGUCUGACCGAGCGACGCCGCGUGCGGGAUGAAGGCCUUCGGGUUGUAAACCGCUGUCGUAGGGAAUCAAGUGUAUGAGGGUACUCCCUUGUAUUUGAGAGAUCCUAGGAGGAAGGAGAGGCUAAGCUCGUGCCAGCAGCCGCGGUAAGACGAGCUCUCCAAACGUUAUUCGGUAUUACUGGGCUUAAAGAGUUCGUAGGCGGCUUUGUAGGUGAGAUGUGAAAGCCCUCGGCUUAACCGAGGAACUGCGUUUCAAACCACAGGGCUUGAGGGAGAUAGGGGUAAGCGGAACAGAUGGU
rnacentral:rRNA from 1 species